rnacentral:rRNA from 1 species
CCCUUAGAUGUUCUGGGCCGCACGCGUGCUACACUGGCGAACGCAACGAGUAUUACGACCUUGACCGAAAGGUCUGGGUAAUCUUAUGAAAGUUCGUCGUGACAGGGAUCGAUCAUUGCAAUUAUUGAUCGUGAACGAGGAAUUCCUAGUAAGGGCAAGUCAUCAUCUUGCCUUGAUUACGUCCCUGCCCUUUGUACACACCGCCCGUCGCUACUACCGAUUGAAUGCUCAGGUGAGCCAUUCGGACUUUCAUCAUGCUGGUUUCCAGUUUUGAUGAAGGAAAGUCUUGCGAACCUUAUCAUUUAGAGGAAGGAGAAGUCGUAACA